rnacentral:misc_RNA from 1 species
GGAAACAUUAUUAAAUUCGUGACUUCUCCAAUUGGAAGUCGAGACUGUCGGACUACAGUAGAUACGGUAUGAUCAAAAUUAAUAACGAUUGAAUUCAAAUUUUAAUACAGUUAAAUACAUAUAAAAUAGAAUAAAAGAUCACAUGAUAUACAAAUUUCUGUUCACAUGAUAACCUACGUAGCGUAACUGAAGAAACUCUUUCCAACCCUAACCAUCGCUCUGCUCUUUAUCUCGACAGCAGCGUGACACGUAACUAUAUCAUCAAAGCAAAUCAGAGGAAAAUCCAAAACACAAUUGAAAUUAGCAAAUUAACUAAAAAACUAUAUACAUAUAAUUUCAAUUUUACCUUGUCAAUAAUGACUUUCCUACGCUUCUAGCAUUCUCCAAAAACUGCCAGCUUUUAGCAGGAUCUCCAUCAACCACCGCAGACUUCAAGUUCAUAAAUAAUUUCUGAUAAGAACUACUUAAUUCUUCGUAGUUGUCCAUUUUUACAGCAGGGAAGCAUUUAGAAGAUUCUGAAAUGUUGUCCCGUGUUUCUUGUUCCCAAUCACUUUGCAGUGUCCCCAGCAACUGCCUUUUAUCCAAUUUGCUUCCUGUCCUGCAGCUUAUCGCCAAUUCUAGCUUUGCAGCCAUGAUAGUGGCCUGUCUGAUGCAGGAUGAAGGUAACUGUGCCAGCUGAGCGACCUUAAAUGCAAAACUCCUCUCUGACACACCAGGCACCAGCUUAUAAAGGUAAGUGACAUUUUCAUUAUAGAAUUUUGAGUCCAUGGCAUCCGUAUUUUUCUCCGAAGUUAGGUAUGAAACAUGGUAUGUCCCCACAGAGUCCAGGAAUUCAGUUUUGACAUCAGCAAUUUUAGGAUAGUGAGUUACAAAGAGUACCAUGCAUCUUUUCUCUUUCAGCAGAUGGUGUAACGUAGCAUAAGCAAUUGCUUCACCGUCAUGUGUACUUGUGCCUCUACCAAGCUCAUCCAUGAUAACCAGCGAACGUGCUGUGCAUUUGUGGAGUAUAUCAGAAGCCUCACUCAGCUCUUCUAAAAAGGUACUUCUCCCUUGUUGGAUGCUGUCAGAAGCUCCCAUACGAGUGUAGAUAGCAUCUAGCACAUGUAGUUUUGCUGAUGAUGCUGGUACAAAGGAACCAACCUGAGCCAUCAUUGCAAUGAGCCCAACUUGGCGAAUGUAGCAGCUUUUUCCCCCCAUGUUGGGUCCAGUGACUAUCUGACAAUGCUCUCCAUCUGCAUCCAAGUGGGUAUCAUUUGGGACAAAACUGUCUUGUAAUAUGGUCUCCAAAACCGGGUGACGACCAGAAGAGAUAUGUAUCUGAACAGGUUCACUGUCAUCCACAAACAUCGGACGGACAUAAUUCUUAUUUUUUGAAAGGCAGGCAAGUGAAUGCAAACAAUCCAAAGCAGCAAGUGCUUGAACAACAGCUUGGAACUCAGCAUAAUAUUUCCCAAAACCCCUUAGAAAGUUAUCCCAUGCAGCUCGGGAGACAACCAUGAGCUCCUCAUUGGCCAGUGAUAACUGGUCUAAGGCAGUCAAGACUUCAGGUGGGUGAUAGCGGAUUGUCUUCUUCGUACUGUUUACCUUCACCCAAUUUAGAGGUACUUUGACAUCUGUGGGCAACUCUAUCAAAUGUGUGUUUCCAGAGACACUCAUAAAUUCCAAAUUGUGCAUUUUAAGCUGCUUGCGAUACAAACAGAUUAAAGAAUCCAACUUCUCCUUUGCCAAUUGAACUGUUUUCCGGGAACUUGCAACCUCUGGAAAUUGGCCAUUAGAAAUGACAAUUAAGUUUGGUAUAUCCCCACGUUCAGCUGCUUCUUUAUUUAGGGUAGACAAGAGUUUUGCAGCAUUACCAACUACACUAGAUGAUGACACAGUAAAAAUCAGUUUUUUUAAUAGCACUGAGCACACAGUCUUAGCUUGAACUUUCUCAUUGUUGUGCUCUUCUUCAAUCUGAAGUCGCCCAAAUUGUUUCCCAGCAUGUAAUAUAGCUUGCAUAACAGAAAUGAACUCAGAUGCAGUGGCAGUCCGAUGAUAAAUUCUUGUUAUUCCACGUUGAAUGUCUGGCGAUCUUCCCAAAGUAGUCAAAACAGAAGAAAGCAAAUAAUAGAAGUCAGGCUGUACAAUUGCUACAUCAGAAUUUUCUCCAUCAAGCUUGCCAACAUUUUGAGAAGCUUUAUAAGAUCCCAUGGAUUUUGCAAUCUCAGAAACGGCAUCAAGACGGGCAGAAAUCAUGUUUCUAUCACAUAAAGGAUGCGUCACCCAGUGUCGUAGUAGCCUGGAACCAGAAACAGUAAGAGUAUAAUUCAUGACAUGCAGCAAUGAGCCAGACUCUAACCCAUUUGAGUUAUUCCUCAAAACCUCUAAUUGUUGAAGUGUGUUGGCUGAAAGAUUCAUCUCCAUGUUGCUUGAGAAUGGCCGAAAUGAAGCUCCAAGGCACAAAAUUCUUUCUAACCCGAAUUGUUUUAGAUGACGGAUGGUCAAUGCCAAAGCUUGCAUAGCCAAAUCUGGCAUGUUCAUAAUUCCCUCAAUAUCCAGGUGACAAUUGCCCUGUUCUGUCCCCUCCGUCUGCUUUUCACUAUCUUCUGUCUUAUCUUCAGCCAUAUUCUCAUAUGAAGACAUCACCUCAGCAAGUACACCACCAUCAUUAAAGCAAUCUCGCGAGGCACGCUCCACACGGACAUUUGAUGAAGGUCCAGCAUAUGUCAGUAGCAACUUCUCUGUUUGUUUAGAAAGUGGGUCCCCAAGGAGUAACUCAGCUGGAGAUAAGCUCAAAACCACAGCCUCAAGCCCACUCCUCAAAAAAACAUCGUUAAACUCACCAAAAACAACGUCCCCAGUUGAAAUCUCAACUCCCAUAAACCCAAUCCUCGUAUCAAACCCACUCUCAACCUCACGAUCAGCAUUCUCCACCAAAAAGCUCCUGUCCACGACACAGCAGAGAUAAUUGCUCUCUCCACCACAGCCCUCCUCCCUUCCACCAACAUCCUCGGCUGCCUCCAUUGUCGCCUUCGUAUACAACGCCGAUAACCCUCUGCAAAAUGGGCCUGUCUUGUUAUCCCCAUGAGCCUUAAUUGCGGCUGUCUCAGUCUGCUUAACAACACCAACCUUAUACCCUGCGCUGACCAAUCUUCUGACAUGGACAUUUAAUCGAAAAGUUGGCACGCUAGCCGUCAUAAAAUUGUGAUCCAUGUGGGCAUAAAUCCCCAGCACUCUGGCCGCAGUCCCCGCAUCCUCCCCGAAGAAUCGGUACUUGUAACCUACUUCAACCAUCAAAAGGACAUCUGGAUACCUGUUCUUUAGGUCCAGAACUUGCUGUUCUAAUGGGGUGUACUUUUUGGGAAUUGAAGAUUGAGUGGACGAUGGCUGUGAGGUUUCAGGGGAUGAUUCUAGAAGUUUGUCGAGGAACUUUUGGUGGACGGAGGGGGUGGGGGUAGGAUUUUGGGUGUGAGGGGAAAGUUUGGGCCUUUUUGGAGUGGAAGUGAGGUGGGCAGAGAGGAGUUUUCUUUUGGCGGGAGAGAAGGAGACAGUGGCAGAGAUUUUGGGGGUUGAAGCCGGAGACGAAGAAGAUGAAGGGGUUGUUGGUAGAGUUGACGGAUCAUUGGUUUUAGCUUUGGGAGCAAAGAAGCGGGAGAUUACCUGUUGCUUUUGCUUGCCCAUGCUAUUGCUGGGGAGGUUUUGGGCUGGCGAUUUGGUAGUCGCCGUGAGUGGAAUACUCGAUAGAAGGAUAUUACUGAUUUGGCGCGCUUUGCUUUUAUGUUUCUCUGAACAACUACUCUUGCUGUAUUACCUCGCCAAUUUCGACUGAGCUAAUUAACUGGCUUUCCACACGCUGUGACUUCAGCAUCUUUUUAUUAACUUUAUAUGAUCCAGCCUCUUCGCAAUUUACACCACUUUACG